AUUGAACGCUGGCGGCAUGCCUAACACAUGCAAGUCGAACGGCAGCAGGGGUGCUGGUCCCGGAUGGCGCGGCGGACAGGUGAGUAAUGCACAUCGAUACGUCUGCUAGUGGGGGAGAUCGUCCGGCGACGGGCGGUUUUAUCCCGCACAUCAUGUAGGGGUGAAAGGGGGGGACCCGCAGGCCUCGCUCUCAAGGGAUCGUCGAUGGCUGAUUAGCUAGUUGGUGGGGUAAAGGCCUACCAAGGCGACGACCAGUAUCUGGUCUGAGAGGACGACCAGCCACACUGGGACUGAGACACGGCCCAGACUCCUACGGGAGGCAGCAGUGGGGAAUUUUGGACAAUGGGCGAAAGCCUGAUCCAGCAAUGCCGCGUGUGUGAAGAAGGCCUUCGGAUUGUAAAGCACUUUAGGCCGGAAGGAAGGGCAGUAAGUUAAUACGGUCGGGUGAUGACGGUACCGGCAGAAUAAGCACCGGCUAACUACGUG
rnacentral:rRNA from 1 species